GGUCGUUCACCGUAAUUUCGCUAAAUUAUAGACUCAUAAUCGAUUGGUCCGCAGUUCAAGUCUGCGAGGGGCCACCA
rnacentral:tRNA from 2 species